CCUACGGGAGGCAGCAGUGGGGAAUAUUGGGCAAUGGGCGCAAGCCUGACCCAGCAACGCCGCGUGAAGGAAGAAGGCUUUCGGGUUGUAAACUUCUUUUGACAGGGAAGAGCAGAAGACGGUACCUGUCGAAUAAGCCACGGCUAACUACGUGCCAGCAGCCGCGGUAAUACGUAGGUGGCCAGCGUUGUCCGGAUUUACUGGGUGGAAAGGGCGUGUAGCCGGGCUGACAAGUCAGAUGUGAAAUCCGGGGGCUCAACCCCCGAACUGCAUUUGAAACUGUUGGUCUUGAGUAUCGGAGAGGCAGGCGGAAUUCCUAGUGUAGCGGGGAAAUGCGUAGAUAUUAGGAGGAACACCAGUGGCGAAGGCGGCCUGCUGGACGACAACUGACGGUGAGGCGCGAAAGCGUGGGGAGCAAACAGGAUUAGAUACCCGGGUAGUC
rnacentral:rRNA from 1 species